ACACUCCUGCGGGAGGCAUCAGUGGGGAAUAUUGGACAAUGGGCGCAAGCCUGAUCCAGCCAUGCCGCGUGAGUGAUGAAGGCCCUAGGGUUGUAAAGCUCUUUCACCGGUGAAGAUAAUGACGGUAACCGGAGAAGAAGCCCCGGCUAACUUCGUGCCAGCAGCCGCGGUAAUACGAAGGGGGCUAGCGUUGUUCGGAUUUACUGGGCGUAAAGCGCACGUAGGCGGACUAUUAAGUCAGGGGUGAAAUCCCGGGGCUCAACCCCGGAACUGCCUUUGAUACUGGUAGUCUUGAGUUCGAGAGAGGUGAGUGGAAUUCCGAGUGUAGAGGUGAAAUUCGUAGAUAUUCGGAGGAACACCAGUGGCGAAGGCGGCUCACUGGCUCGAUACUGACGCUGAGGUGCGAAAGCGUGGGGAGCAAACAGGAUUAGAAACCCGAGUAGUCCCA
rnacentral:rRNA from 1 species